rnacentral:rRNA from 1 species
AGCGAACGCUGGCGGCAGGCUUAACACAUGCAAGUCGAGCGGGCAUCCUUGUGGUGUCAGCGGCAGACGGGUGAGUAACGCGUGGGAACGUGCCCUUCGGUUCGGAAUAACUCAGGGAAACUUUAGCUAAUACCGGAUACGUGCGAGAGCAGAAAGGUUUAUCUGCCGAAGGAUCGGCCCGCGUCUGAUUAGCUAGUUGGUGAGGUUACGGCUCACCAAGGCGACGAUCAGUAGCUGGUCUGAGAGGAUGAUCAGCCACACUGGGACUGAGACACGGCCCAGACUCCUACGGGAGGCAGCAGUGGGGAAUAUUGGACAAUGGGGGCAACCCUGAUCCAGCCAUGCCGCGUGAGUGAUGACGGCCUUAGGGUUGUAAAGCUCUUUUCUCCGGGACGAUAAUGACGGUACCGGAGGAAUAAGCCCCGGCUAACUUCGUG